rnacentral:rRNA from 1 species
GACGAACGCUGGCGGCGUGCUUAACACAUGCAAGUCGAACGGUAAACGCCUGCGCUUGUGCGCUCCUCGACUGUCGAGCACGUGUGUGAAACGCGUGUACCCUGUCCUUCACACUCGGAUAUCUUCAUUGAACUCGGCCUCUUAUCCCGUAUACGCUCCUGCUGCACGUUCUCUCCUGGAGAGUUUCACCGGUUGGGGAUGUACUCGCGGCUUAUCAGCUUGUUGGUGUGGUAUUGGCUUACCAAGGCUCUGACGGGUAGCCGGCCUGAGAGGGUGACCGGCCACACUGGGACUGAGAUACGGCCCAGACUCCUACGGGAGGCAGCAGUGGGGAAUAUUGCACAAUGGGCGGAAGCCUGAUGCAGCAACGCCGCGUGAGGGACGACGGCCUUCGGGUUGUAAACCGCUUUCAGCAGGGACGAAGCGAAAGUGACGGUAACUGCAGAAGAAGCACCGGCUAACUACGUG